rnacentral:rRNA from 1 species
GACGAACGCUGGCGGCGUGCUUAACACAUGCAAGUCGAACGGAAAGGCCCUGCUUUUGUGGGGUGCUCGAGUGGCGAACGGGUGAGUAACACGUGAGUAACCUGCCCUUGACUUUGGGAUAACUUCAGGAAACUGGGGCUAAUACCGGAUAGGAGCUCCUGCUGCAUGGUGGGGGUUGGAAAGUUUCGGCGGUUGGGGAUGGACUCGCGGCUUAUCAGCUUGUUGGUGAGGUAGUGGCUUACCAAGGCUUUGACGGGUAGCCGGCCUGAGAGGGGGACCGGCCACAUUGGGACUGAGAUACGGCCCAGACGCCUACGGGAGGCAGCAGUGGGGAAUAUUGCACAAUGGGCGGAAGCCUGAUGCAGCAACGCCGCGUGCGGGAUGACGGCCUUCGGGUUGUAAACCGCUUUCGCCUGUGACGAAGAGUGAGUGACGGUAAUGGGUAAAGAAGCACCGGCUAACUACGUG